rnacentral:rRNA from 1 species
UACGAAGGGUGCAAACGUUGCUCGGAAUUAUUGGGCGUAAAGCGCACGUAGGCGGCUUGGCAAGUCGGAUGUGAAAUCCCUCGGCUCAACCAAGGAAGUGCAUCCGAAACUGCUGAGCUUGAGUACGAAAGAGGAUCGCGGAAUUCCCGGUGUAGAGGUGAAAUUCGUAGAUAUCGGAAGGAACGCCGGUGGCGAAAGCGACGUGCUGGACCUCUUCUGACGCUGAGGCGCGAAAGCUAGGGGAGCAAACGGG